GACCCCAGGUCAGGUGGGAGCACCCGCUGAGUUUAAGCAUACUAAAAAGGCGAAAGAAAAAAAUUCCUUUUUAUAAAAGGGGAGGAUUUUUUUCCUAAGCGCCAAGGACCUUUCCAUCAAAAGGAAGGAAAUUGGCCUUAGCCCUUCUACCUUCUCUCUAGCCCUAAUAAUAUGCCAAUACCCACACUCUUACCACAAGCAACCGUACCUAUCCUUUUUCCAAUCUAUUCUGACUUAGUGCCAGCCUUAGGCUAAAU
rnacentral:rRNA from 1 species